UUACUGUUUCUUCAUUGAAUCAAUCCUAACCUAGCCAAAGAACUCAAGACCUAGCCACCUAUCUGUGAGAAAACCGCCGCCGCACCUCUCUUCUUCUGAUCUUCUCUGCCGUCUCCUUCUCCACAACACUAUCUUCAUUAUUUGCUGACCUGAGUUCACCCUAGGCCGCAACAACGGCACUUUCCUCUUCUGGAUCUACACCGUUUCCGAUGACAACUAUAGGAGAUACUUGAAGGUUCCGUCCUGCUCUCUCUCUCUCCAUAUCUUUCUCUACAUUCCUGUGAGAAAUCUCUGAUCUCUCUCUAGUGAGAACUCUUCCAUCUCUCUCUAUCUCUUGCACAUCCUAAUCUUUUAUCCUCAGAGUGAGUGCUGGGUGGCGUUUUACGGUCGUGCUCGUAGAGUGAUAUGCCUCCUCAGUCCUCAGGUUUACUUGGUGGGAAGAGGAAAAAGCUCAUUUGGAUUGAGUAGAUUCGGAAAAAAUAGAUUCGGAGGGCAAGUUGGGAGCUACAGUGCCACAUUCGGAGCUCCAGAGAGACAGAGGGACGGCAUGACCAGAUCAUUCUUGGAGAGGAUCCUGACGGUUUUCAUAUCAAAGGCCUUUUAAUUAGGUUAUUUCAUAAAUUUUGGCCACCUUUGCAAGAUUUCAUUCUUAGCAGGGUUUAUUACUCCGAUUUGAAGGCUACCAAUGCAAGCACAAUAACAUUUUAUUCCAUUUAAGGAGUUUGAACUGGGGAUUGGGAAGAGAACCAAUUGAGUAUUGGAUGAAAUACUAUAAGAGUUUGGUAUCAAGCACACCAAAGGAAGGGAAGGAAUACUUCCUCAAUAUGGAAAAACACACAAAAAAAAAAUGUUUAAAUGGGAAGGCGAAGAGGAUGACAAAGUGCUUAAUCUUGUCUUUAGUAAGACAGAAGUCUCUAAAAGGAAGGAGUGACUGCUCCAAAAGCCCGACGACACUUAUAAUACAGAGAUAACAUAUUCUAACUUUAUGAAGAAGGUGCUUAUAUAUGCGGGGGCUAAUCUUCAGAGAUCCAAGGCAGAUUCAGAUAACGUUCUCUGGCUAAUCUUCAGAUAACGUUCUGGGUCUUAUUUUCAAGCCAACUUAUUUGAUGGGAUGGUUAAGAGAUUAUUUAUGGUUAAACUCUUCCCAACUGAUCAAUGGAUAUAACCCUUUGGAUUGAAACUUCAGCAUGGGCUCAUGAACAGACACCUUUGGCCAAUUUGAUUUGAUUCGUUGGAGAGAGAAACCAGUGGCCCUUUCCAUUGUGCAAGCAGGUUACAUACGGUGUUGUAUUCGCAAGAAUCUCAUUUCUUAAUGUGUUGUAUUCGUAAUAAUCUCAUUUCUUCCCAAGGAGAGGGGGUCCAAUUAAUUCGUUCUUUAACAGGUUUAUUGUAUGAAGUUAUAGAAUUUGUGUAAUUUUAUUUAGUUAAAAUUAUUAUUUUUCUGAA